CCGAGCUCAUGCCCUUACGGGUAGAUCUCCCACCCUAUGUUAUCGUUACCUUCGUUGCUUUGGCGGGCCGUCAGGCCUCGGUCAGGCUAUCGGCUCCGGCUGGUAAGCGCCCGCCAGAGGACCCCAAACUCUGAGUAUUAGUGUCGUCUGAGUACUAUGUAAUAGUUA
rnacentral:misc_RNA from 1 species